GCCUCCUCGCUCACCUGAUCUCACACCCUUGGACUUCUUUUUGUGGAGUGAAAUUAAGUGAACAAAAGUGAGCCGGUUAGUGUCGAACAAUUAAAACAGCGCAUAUUGGAUGAAGUGAAAAGACAAAAAAACGUACCUACUUCUCUCGUUAAAAACAAUUUAAGUAAUAAAACGUGCACGUCUGUGUAUUGAUAACGGUGGUGGACAUUUUGAAGGACAAUUAUUAUUGAAAUACUUGUAAGGUUAGUUAAAAUAAUUGUAAAUACCAGCUGAUUCUAACUUCUUAAACACGCCAAAAUCGUUUUUUCUUUCAAUACAGAUUAGGUAUUGUAAAAACAGCUGAUUCUAACUUCUUAAAUACGCCAAAAUUCGAUUUUGAUAUUGUUUGUUUUGUAAUUACAUACCUACGUACCUAUUUAAAUUAUUGUAAAAAAGUAAUUAUGCCGGUCCUAAGCCCGGAUGAAGUAUGAAGGGGAGAUUUGAAUUUAGGAAAUUAAAAUAAAUAAAGUUAGUAACUA